UACGAAGGGGGCUAGCGUUGCUCGGAAUGACUGGGCGUAAAGGGCGCGUAGGCGGAUGGCACAGUCAGAUGUGAAAUUCCUGGGCUUAACCUGGGGGCUGCAUUUGAUACGUGUGAUCUAGAGUGAGGAAGAGGGUUGUGGAAUUCCCAGUGUAGAGGUGAAAUUCGUAGAUAUUGGGAAGAACACCGGUGGCGAAGGCGACUCGCUGGACAGGUAUUGACGCUGAGGUGCGAAAGCGUGGGGAGCAAACAGG
rnacentral:rRNA from 1 species